AAGCUCGUAGUUGAAUUUCGGGUUCAGUAUAGCAGUGAUUCCUCACGGAAUUACGUUUUAUUGAAUCCUUCCUUCUGGGGAACUAUGGUGCUCUUUAAUGAGUGCUAUAAGGAUCCAGAACCUUUACUUUGAAAAAAUUAGAGUGUUUAAGGCAGGCUUACGCUUGAAUACAUUAGCAUGGAAUAAUAGAAUAGGACUUUGGUUCUAUUUUGUUGUUUCUAGGACCAAAGUAAUGAUUAAUAGGGAUAGUUGGG
rnacentral:rRNA from 1 species